GAUGAACGCUAGCGGCAGGCUUAAUACAUGCAAGUCGAGGGGCAGCAGGACUGUAGCAAUACAGUUGCUGGCGACCGGCAAACGGGUGCGGAACACGUACGCAACCUACCCAAAACUGGGGGAUAGCCCGGGGAAACCCGGAUUAAUACCUCGUAACCUUUUUAAGUGGCAUCACUUGAUAAGUAUAGCUCCGGCGGUUUUGGAUGGGCGUGCGCCUGAUUAGGUAGUUGGUGCGGGUAACGGCCCACCAAGCCUGCGAUCAGUAACUGGUGUGAGAGCACGACCAGUCACACGGGCACUGAGACACGGGCCCGACUCCUACGGGAGGCAGCAGUAAGGAAUAUUGGUCAAUGGACGCAAGUCUGAACCAGCCAUGCCGCGUGAAGGAUGAAGGUCCUCUGGAUUGUAAACUUCUUUUAUGGGGGACGAAACCCGGAUAUUCUUAUCCGAUUGACGGUUCCUCAGGAAUAAGCACCGGCUAACUCCGUG
rnacentral:rRNA from 1 species